rnacentral:rRNA from 1 species
UACGAAGGGGGCUAGCGUUGUUCGGAUUUACUGGGCGUAAAGCGCACGUAGGCGGAUCGUUAAGUCGGGGGUGAAAUCCUGGAGCUCAACUCCAGAACUGCCUUCGAUACUGGACGAUCUCGAGUCCGGGAAGAGGUGAGUGGAACUCCGUAGUGUAGAGGUGGAAUUCGUAGAUAUUAGGAAGAACACCAGUGGCGAAGGCGGCUCACUGGCCCGGUACUGACGCUGAGGUGCGAAAGCGUGGGGAGCAAACAGGG